CUAGUGCUGCGGGGUUCGUCAGGAACACAUGAAUCUCCAGGGCCUAUAAGAUCUGCCUGGGAGCUGUCCCUGGCCGGGGCCGUGGCCCCGGACAUAUGGCGCCCACCUUACAUUUGUAGGGACCCGGCGAGAUCAACCGUUCCAACGGCCACCGCGGCACUUUG
rfam:Hyphomicrobium nitrativorans NL23, complete genome.